CUAAAGAAGAAGGUUUGGACAGAGGUGGAGGUUGAGCUGCAGUGCUGAUCCAAGGACAGUUUCCCCAGAGAUUCGGAAGUCAGAGGAGCCCUUUGGAGAUAUCCUGAGUUCGGCCAAGAUCAUAUUCCUGCAUCAAUUAGUCACAGAUGAGGGCUGUCACAGGAAGGGGUGUGGUCAUGGACCAGGUGAUCCCCUGCAACGAGGCAAUUAAAAAGGGGCCAAGAGAUGAAGGCUGUCUGACUUUACCACUCCCAAAGCCGCGUCAAGAAGUCCUUCAUUGAAGGAGGAGCUCAGCAGUGUACUAUAGUGUCCACUUCAUGAGACUAUAGUCUUUGAACACCUACAUCAGGAAGAAUCAUCUUGGAGAGCUUGUGAAAAGCAAAUUACAGACCUGAUGUAUCUGAAUCUCUAUCUGGCUGGAAAAGGAGAAUGUCUUCCCCUCUAUGCCACUGAAGAUGCAUUGCCUGAACACUCAUGACAGUAGGAAGACUGCGGUUGGAGAGCACAUCCAGGGAGCAGUUGAGAUAUCCUGUCAUAGGGACAAGGGGCAUGUGAACUGAGUGACUCUGGAUAUAUGCAUGAAAUUAUCCUUGGGGAAGCCAGGGAAAGCUGAAAAAAUGGUGAGAAUUCGGAGAAAGGUAGUUGGUUUGGUUGCAGUACUUUUGAUUUAGAGUAAGUUUCAGUUGAAAGAUGGCAUUUCUACAGGUGCAUUAAAUCAUAAUAAGAAAUUGGACAUACUACCCCAAAAGCCUUAACAUUCUAAAUUUUGACAAUGCUGCUCCCCUAUUAGUUAAAUCAUUUCUAAAGAAUUUUUAUCAGGAAAAAAACUUAAAAAGGAUAAUAGAGUAGUUGGUGGGGCAGAAAAUAAGAUUCAUGAAGAAAUGAAUACAAAUGCAACUAUUUGAAAACAAGAAAAAUGACCAAUGGAUUAGAAGAUAGAAGGUAGAUCUAUAAAUAUUGAAAGUGGCAGAAGACUCAUAAGUGAAAGAGAAAAGUUAUUUAUAAAAAAUAGCUCAGGUGAGCCUAAGAAAACUGAAACAAGGAGGCUAUUAGGGAAAUUUUAAACCCCAUGAACACUGUCUUAAAUCUAAAUUGUCAACAUUCUAAAGCUUUGACUCACUAUCAUAAAUGUACAUAUAUGUUUCCACUUUAUUUUUGGGUUCCCCCAAACCAAGACAGGUUUCAUUCUAUUUGGGGGUGGAAAAGAAUUUAAAUAACCAUUGGAAUGUAAACCCCUGGGAGUUCUCUCCUGUUAGAUGAGCUGAUUGACAAUUUAUUGGCAAUGGCCCUGAGGGCUGUUUUGUUCAGGAUGGAGAGCACUGUAUGAGUCUAGGCUUUGCCUUCAUGUGGGUUCUCAUAGGUACUCUGCCUUGAUAUUCUGGACUUAACCUCUAAUCUCUUUCUGCUCUUCAAAGUGAGGGUAAUAAUGCAUGUCCCACUCCUAGGGUUGUUUUGAGAGUCAAAUGCAAAACAGAUGGGAAAGUGGUUUAAACAAAGGCAAGCUUUUCCAGGCUCAGUCAAGCAGAGAAUGCUGGCAUCAGUUACAAUUAGAAAGAGUAUGUGAGUAGUACAACAUAAGUCUUUAAAUCUCUUAAAAUGGGAUGGCAUGUUCACUUAAAGUUGCUAGAUAAUUAGUGUCUAAUGUCCACAUGGUUAUUAUAGUAAAGAACUUUAUAGAAGCUUCUUCAAAUAGCUGGAAUGUAGGUUUUAUUACAUUCAGCUGUCCAUGCCUUAGAGUACUUAUGUAGGAUUAAUAAUGAAAUUGGACCUAGACCAGGGGUGCAUAAAUUUGGCUGACUUGAUUUGGUGGCACUUUACUCCUUGGGGCUAAUUGAAUCACAGCGGCUAUACAGGAUUAGUUUAGUUCUGAAAGUAAACCCAAAGGUAGGGCUGCCUGUGCAGGUAAUCAUAGCCCAUGUGGGAUGACUUCUGGGGCAUUGAAAAGACUCCCAAACAUAUCCUACUCUGACCUACAAACCUCUAAAUUCUACAAUUAGAAUUGAUUAUUUUUACUCUAGCCAAACAGGUAUUUUUCUCCCACUAAAGUAUGUUAAGAAAUCUAGGGGCAUGCUAUAAUUUUGCCUGGGCUUUACCUGACGAGAAAUACCCAGAAAGACCUGACUUUUGGGAAGCACUUAGGUGAUGCCAUAGAAUUGAAUCUGCCUGGGAUCAUAUAUACAUUGGUUAGGUCAGUAGCCAGGAAGGAUUACUUAUUCUACAAAUACUUAUUGAGUAUCUAUAGGGUAUUUAUCAUGUGGUUGUAUAUUUCCCAUGUAGAAUUUGUAGAAUCUCCAUAUGAUGAUACAAGAGUAAUCAGAUUAUAACUGUCUUAUUAAAAUAAA